rnacentral:rRNA from 1 species
UACGAAGGGGGCUAGCGUUGUUCGGAAUCACUGGGCGUAAAGCGCGCGUAGGCGGAUUGUUAAGUCAGGGGUGAAAUGCCGAGGCUCAACCUCGGAACUGCCUUUGAUACUGGCGAUCUUGAGUCCGGGAGAGGUGAGUGGAACUCCGAGUGUAGAGGUGAAAUUCGUAGAUAUUCGGAAGAACACCAGUGGCGAAGGCGGCUCACUGGCCCGGUACUGACGCUGAGGUGCGAAAGCGUGGGGAGCAAACAGG